ensembl:lncRNA
CUUGCUGGAGAUCCUUGGGUACCUGACAUCUUCUGAAGCUUCGCCUUGGUGCCGUCUGUUGUUUGGAGCUGAAUGUGGCCAAGUCAGUGACCCGGUGGGAAGGAAGACACGAUUUUCAUUUACUCAUCUGAAAAGGGCAGUGCAGGUCUGAACCGCCCUCCAUUUGUUUUCAGAUUGCUUUCAGACUCCUCUCAACAUAGGAUCAUCUCAGUCAAAGGGAGCUGGUGGAGGCUGAAUAAAGAUGAGCCCAAUGAGAGGCCCUCUGGGGCACUGGAGGCAUCACGCGGAAAUCAAAGCGGAUCAACUACCCAGUGCAAUGGGAUAAUGUGAAGGAGCAGAGUCCAGCCAAAGGGGAGCUGUGCUGUCACUGUGGGGUGGCUGGGAGGAGCAGAGCUGCCCCUGCUCUGUGUUGAGAAGGAUGGAAAGGCUGGAAGCUCCUUGGCUCUAGCUCAGUGGGCAUGGGGGUACUGCUGGGGUGUAAUGAUGGCAAUGGAUGGGCACUUUGUCUUGGAAAAACAUACCAUGGGAACAAACCAGCAAGAAAAAUGGCAAUUCUAUCAACCAGAAUACGAUGCCUUUCAUUCUCUGUAAUAGUUUUGGCACCCAGCCUGAGUCCACUUAUCUAGAUACCAUACAGCCCCCAUUUCCCAAAGAAAACACAGAUUCUUGACAAAGCUUCUCUGAAGUGUUUGUUUCUGACAUCUCAGUGAGGAAAAUCUUCAAUUAGUGCUUGGCUCUGAGCUGCGGAGCUCCCAUUUCAGGGUUUUGAACUCCACCACUUUCUCUGCAGCUACCCAAGAAAUACUGCUUAACUUUUUUCUUGCUCCAGAAAUGCGGGCAUCCCUCAAAGUCCUCACCAAUAAGCUCGAAGGGAACCAGUUGCUCCAUUGCAGCAGUAGGUGGCCUCCUCAUAGGCUCCUUAUCACCUGCUGUUGGGCCAGAGCUGGACUGCAUCUGAAUGCAGUGGAGUGGGAAGAGAUCCAAGGAGGGCAAGGAGUGAAGAGGUGUAACAAUAGAGUUGCCCUGGCUAUAAGUAACUCCUUUCUAAUCUCCUUUUCAUUCCCAGGUGAUGAGCAUGUGUCCCUAAAGAAAUUCUCAUGUAUACAGGUUUGCUUCUUUGUUCCUGUCUAAGCAACUAUUGCUUUAAAACCAGGAUUAAGCAGAGCACUUCACUGUGUACAUGCAUACAGAAAAUCUGUGUUUGAGUGCUUCCCUGAUUCAGGGGGUAAACUGAUUACCAGCAGAUUCAUUUACCUUAUACAUCAUUUUCACAUUAAGUU